rnacentral:tRNA from 1 species
UCCCCUGUGGUGUAAUCGGCAACAUCGCGGACUUUGAAUCCGUUGUUCCAGGUUCGAGCCCUGGCAGGGGAG